GACGAAGGGGGCUAGCGUUGUUCGGAAUUACUGGGCGUAAAGCGCGUGUAGGCGGUUGCCCAAGUCGGGUGUGAAAGCCUUGAGCUCAACUCAAGAAAUGCACUCGGUACUGGGUGACUAGAGGACCGGAGAGGAUAGUGGAAUUCCCAGUGUAGUGGUGAAAUACGUAGAGAUUGGGAAGAACACCAGUGGCGAAGGCGGCGACCUGGUCCUCUUACUGACGCUGAGGCGCGAAAGCGUGGGGAGCAAACAGG
rnacentral:rRNA from 1 species